rnacentral:lncRNA from 1 species
CCAACGGAAGAUACUACGAGACCGACUGAUUCUACGAUGACAGAGCUAUCUAUGCCGACUUAAGAUAUCACCGGUUGCUUCCACAGUGCUGUUGAUGCCAACGAAAGAUGUGUCAGCGAGAAAAGAAAAGAAAAAAUCUCAAAGUUGUUGAGAAAGCUUGCGCAGGGCAGUUUUGUGUUGAAUUGUAGGGGCCUCGAAUGAUGCACGGCCUCUUCUAUUUAUAGCAACGGCUCCCCCCAAGGUCGAGUUAAAACCCCAUUCAGACUAGGACUUCUUCUCCCAAUCAAACACUGACUCGACCAAUCCUACUUUCAUUAUGAUUGUGAACCUAGUCCUUUAUUGAGUCGGAUUCGCUCUCGGGUUAUUAAUCCUGCCGAGACUCCUUAUUGCACCAGGACUUGACUUAUCCUACGUCCUGACCUAGCCGACCUAGGUUUGGAGGCCCACGUACUGAACGAUUCAUGCCGCAAGGCCUUCCGGGCCGAGAAUGAUUCUCUACUCGGCCCAAACUUUAUUUUGGGCCUAAACAUUGCCCCCUCGCUUCUGAGGCCUUCGACCUGAACCCUCUGGUUGAGCUUUGGCCUUGAAGAAGCGAAGUUAAAACUUCAAAACUCGAACGCUCCCCUUCCGAGGUGCAUUUAUUGAACAUGAUCCCAUGAUCUCGAUUCUGCUAACCACCAUUCUACGUGGCCUUCUUUUAUAGGGUUAAUCCAUAGUGACGUUUGGAGCGUGCAACCCCCUGAACCGUCAUAUCAUCAUGGUUUUGUUGCUGAACACCACCACGCCGCCUCGAUCUACGAACCAUCCAGUAUCGUGCAGAUGCCAAACCGUCAUUCACCAUAAAUCUUGCCGUCACACGCAAUCGUGCGUCUCCCAAAACAAGAAACCCUCGGUCUUCUCAACUGGAUUUUCUGAAUGUUCAUAAUGAUUAGCGAAUUCCUCGGUCGAUUCUACCCUUUAUUUCGAAUUUCGAACGAUUGCCCUUCUCUUCAUCGUCCUAUAAAUACCGAAAUCCUCUCAUUUGUACCUUUACGCAUUCAAAUUUUCUGAAUUUCUGCCAUUGCUCUAGCACCUUCCUUUUCUCCGAAUCUUCAUCUUCAAGUCUCCAACCCAGAAAAACCCCUUUUACAUCGUACUUUUUAUCCUUCCCACAAUGGCCUCCUUCAUUUCCAAACUUUCCAGGGAAUGUGAUCAGUGUCAAAAGAUUCUUGAUCGAAGCUCGAUCAAAACUAUACGGUUUGAGAGUGACAUGAGUACUUCCCACCAAAUCUUGGGUCCCAUUUUUAA